UACGUAGGGUGCGAGCGUUGCCCGGAAUUAUUGGGCGUAAAGAGCUUGUAGGCGGUCUGUCGCGUCUGCUGUGAAAAUCCGGGGCUCAACCCCGGACUUGCAGUGGGUACGGGCAGACUAGAGUGUGGUAGGGGAGACUGGAAUUCCUGGUGUAGCGGUGAAAUGCGCAGAUAUCGGGAGGAACACCGGUGGCGAAGGCGGUUCUCUGGGCCUUACCUGACGCUGAGGAGCGAAAGCGUGGGGAGCGAACAGG
rnacentral:rRNA from 1 species